AUUAUUAUUAUUAUUAUUAUUUAAGUAUUGAAAAUGCUAUGCACAUUUUACCUCCGUGUUGAAUUAAUUUAAAAUGCAGUGAUACUCUCCCAGAAACGUGUUUUUAAACACAAAAAAAUGUUUGAGGACCCCUAUGAAAAAUUUUUGAAUAAUUUUUUUCCCAUAUUGUUAGCAUAAUUACAUCAAUUAUUAUUCUUGUCUAAAUUAACUCAUAUUCUCAUGUAUAAAUAGA
rnacentral:misc_RNA from 1 species